rnacentral:pre_miRNA from 1 species
AAUUUUAAUUUUCAUCAACAACAAAGAUGUUUAACUCAUCAAGAUCUAUAAUUUUUAUCUUGGUCAUUUCUUCAUCCGAUAAAGUGAUAGUAACAUUGUUCAUAAAAUUCACAUAUCUCUCAUCUGAUUUAUAAACUAUAAGAUAGAUAUGUCAAUUUUGUGAACAAUGAUACUAACACUUUAUAGGAUGAAGAAAUGACCGAAAUAAAAGUUAUAGAUCUUGAUGAGUUAUACAUCUUUUUUGUUGAUGACCUUUUUAGUUGAAAUU